rnacentral:rRNA from 1 species
UACGAAGGGGGCUAGCGUUGUUCGGAAUUACUGGGCGUAAAGCGCGCGCAGGCGGUCUUCCAAGUCAGUGGUGAAAGCCUGGAGCUCAACUCCAGAACUGCCAUUGAAACUGUUAGACUUGAGUACGAGAGAGGUGAGUGGAAUUCCCAGUGUAGAGGUGAAAUUCGUAGAUAUUGGGAAGAACACCAGUGGCGAAGGCGGCUCACUGGCUCGUAACUGACGCUCAGACACGACAGCAUGGGGAGCGAACGGG